AGCCCAGCAUCAAGUCAGUUCAUGCUUGUCAACCACCUCCAUACACCACAUCCAGCAAAGCUCCCUGAGUGACUCAGUCACCAACCACCAGUGCACUGAUCUUUCCUCUGUGUCCUUCCAGUUUGUCCUGAGGAUGGCCUGUUUUUAAGAGGCUCACCACAACGCAAAGAUGAAGAAGAAGAGAAAGAAGAUGCUAAUGAUAAUAAUGAUGUCCAGGGAACAGCUUGGAAUGAAAACGACUUGACGCUGGAGAAUAUAAGUGACGAGGAGACUCAUCCAGGUAGGGAACUACGUGCCAGGAAAAACCCAAUGGGAAAAGGUUCCCAGGAGCCUCCAGGUUAUCCUUGCUGCUUGUGAGGAG